GACGAACGCUGGCGGCGUGCUUAACACAUGCAAGUCGAGCGAUGAAGCACCUUCGGGUGUGAAUUAGCGGCGAACGGGUGAGGAACACGUGAGAAAUCUGCCUUCAACACUGGGAUAACUCCGGGAAACCGGGGCUAAUACCGGAUAUGAAACCUGCGGGCAUCCGCGGGUUUGGAAAGUUUUUCGGUUGAAGAUGAUCUCGCGGCCUAUCAGCUUGUUGGUGAGGUAAUGGCUCACCAAGGCGACGACGGGUAGCCGGCCUGAGAGGGCGACCGGCCACACUGGGACUGAGACACGGCCCAGACUCCUACGGGAGGCAGCAGUGGGGAAUAUUGGGCAAUGGAGGAAACUCUGACCCAGCGACGCCGCGUGCGGGAUGAAGGCC
rnacentral:rRNA from 1 species